rnacentral:rRNA from 1 species
CGUAGGGUGCGAGCGUUAAUCGGAAUUACUGGGCGUAAAGCGUGCGCAGGCGGUUUUGUAAGCCAGAUGUGAAAUCCCCGGGCUUAACCUGGGAAUGGCAUUUGGGACUGCAAGGCUUGAGUGCGGCAGAGGAGACUGGAAUUCCCGGUGUAGCAGUGAAAUGCGUAGAUAUCGGGAGGAAUACCGAUGGCGAAGGCAGGUCUCUGGGCUGACACUGACGCUCAUGCACGAAAGCGUGGGGAGCAAACAGGAUUAGAUACCCUGGUAGUCCACGCCCUAAACGAUGUCGACUGGUUGUUGGGGGUUUGACACUCUCAGUAACGAAGCUAACGCGUGAAGUCGACCGCCUGGGGAGUACGGCCGCAAGGUUA